ACGCACGCUGGCGGCGUGCUUAACACAUGCAAGUCGAACGGAAAGGCCCUGCUUGCAGGGUACUCGAGUGGCGAACGGGUGAGUAACACGUGGGUGAUCUGCCCUGCACUUCGGGAUAAGCCUGGGAAACUGGGUCUAAUACCGGAUAGGAGCCAUUUUUAGUGUGAUGGUUGGAAAGUUUUUUCGGUGUAGGAUGAGCUCGCGGCCUAUCAGCUUGUUGGUGGGGUAAUGGCCUACCAAGGCGGCGACGGGUAGCCGGCCUGAGAGGGUGGACGGCCACAUUGGAACUGAGAUACGGCCCAGACUCCUACGGGAGGCAGCAGUGGGGAAUAUUGCACAAUGGGCGCAAGCCUGAUGCAGCGACGCCGCGUGGGGGAUGACGGCCUUCGGGUUGUAAACUCCUUUCGCUAGGGACGAAGCUUUUUGUGACGGUACCUAGAUAAGAAGCACCGGCUAACUACGUG
rnacentral:rRNA from 1 species